rnacentral:rRNA from 1 species
AUACGUAGGGGGCGAGCGUUGUCCGGAAUGAUUGGGCGUAAAGGGCGCGUAGGCGGCCCGGUAAGUCUGGAGUGAAAGUCCUGUUUUUAAGAUGGGAAUUGCUUUGGAUACUGUCGGGCUUGAGUGCAGGAGAGGUUAUCGGAAUUCCCGGUGUAGCGGUGGAAUGCGUAGAGAUCGGGAGGAACACCAGUGGCGAAGGCGGGUAACUGGACUGCAACUGACGCUGAGGCGCGAAAGUGUGGGGAGCAAACAGGAUUAGAUACCCUGGUAGUCCACACUGUAAACGAUGAAUGCUAGGUGUAAGAGGUAUCGACCCCUUUUGUGCCGGAGUCAACACAAUAAGCAUUCCGCCUGGGGAGUACGGCCGCAAGGUUGAAACUCAAAGGAAUUGACGG